UGACGAGGCGUAGGUUGUUGCAA
rnacentral:miRNA from 1 species